rnacentral:lncRNA from 1 species
GACCCAGAAAGAAGCCAGUUGACGAACCAGGAAACACGCCUAUUGAUGAAUUAAACUGUGAUGGCCAAGAUAUUCAACCUCUUGCUCUAGAUUAUUCCAGCAGUCCAUGUCAACCACGGAUACCUAGAAAGAAGCUAGAUGAUCAUUCUACAGGAGUCAAGAAGACACAGGGUGGGCCCAGAAAGAAGGCAAUUGAUACACCAAGGAACGGGGCAACUGAUGUUUCAGAUUGUGAUGACCAAGACUUUCAACCUCUUGCUUUUGAAUAUCCUAGUACAGGUCAUCAAGGAAGAUCUAGGAAGAAGCUAGACGAUAAUUCCGUUAAAGUUAAGAAGCCGAAAGGAAGAGCCAGAAAGAUACGAAUUGAUCAACCAACGAACAAGCCAACUGAUUGUUUGGAUUGCGACGAUGAAGAUGUUCAACCUCUUGCAUUUGCAUACCCCAACAGUUCAUAUCGACAAGGAAAAUCGAG